UUCUCCACACAGGGCUUGAGACACUGGAUAAAAACAGGUUCGACCGGUCAAGUUGGUCAUCCACCCUUGUGGCCGUUUGAGCAACACAAGCCUGGACAGUUAGAAUCGUUCAUAUCGGGUAGUGCAACCACGUCUGCUUUUCAACCUCGAGACUUUAAAAAGAGACAGCACCAUGCCCCGUGAGAUGGAAAAAGCCAAAGCUAUCUAUGUCAAAAGUUGUGAGGAAUGCCACCAGAGUUACGCCUUGGACACCGCAAAGAGGACCAAAGUCGGACAGACAUGCCCUCAACAGAUGCCGGUCGAGUCUCCUUUUCUCCUCGAACGGUCAUUUACAUCAAGGGAGACAACCCUGGCAAAGUUUUUUGAUAAUAUUAACUGAUAACCAAGAUACUAUUUUGGUUUGAAGAAGCAUUCUGGCACAUGAUCCUUUGAUAAUUUUACAGAUGUAACCCUGUUACUUUUCAUAAGGAUUUGUACUUUUUAAUGUUUUGCUCAUCUCCAGCAUCAACUGCAACCAACAAGAGAGCUGGCG